AUUCUGAUCAAUUCAAAUUUAAAUUCAAAACACAUUACUUUAAAGCUUCACUCUCUCUCUUAUCUUCAUAUUUUAUUUUUAUCAUGUUUAUGUCCGCAUUUCUCAUCCAAUAUGAGACACUACAGUUCUCAGUGGAGAGGAGUAGGUGGCGUCGGAAGGGGAGAAGAUUUUCUCCAACGGCGUCGUAGAGAAGAGAGGGUUAAGGGGGGAGAGAGAGAGCACGACAGAAAGAAAGAGAGAGAAAGACAAAAUGAACUUGGCCGACUGAGCUGCUCCAUAACACCCAUAGGUCGAACAUGGCUUUAUCUUGCCAUUUCUUUACACAAUUUGGAGCGCCAAGAAUAAACUGCUGGUCAACGGUGAGGAAUCCAUGCCAGAGAUGGUGAUACAACGCACGACAGUGGGGCACGCAAAGUGUUAAAAAGCGACGACCCAACCCCCACUUCUCUGAAUCAGACAACUUUGCCCACUGCUCUGAAUCAGUUUUUAUUUUUCUUUCUAAAAGUAGCACAAGUUCUGUUAACAAUUCAAAUGCUCAAAGAUGAGGUGCAAGCUUUGUUUGAUGAUGCUGGAAAGCGUAAUGAUUUAGCCACACUCUUUAUACCGUACAGAAGAGAGAUUAGGAGAUGUCGAAGUCGGCAAUGGUGGAGCUGGCAGCAAUUUUCUAUGCACGCCAAUGACACCUAUGGAAUGAUAUAACAAAAGAGGGGAGCCCACAGCAACAAGCUUUUGGUGGUUUGAAGUCACUCUCUCAAAGAAUCAGAAGCGGCCAGGAAAAUUCAAUCAUCUUGGGACUGGAAUCUUAGUGCAGGAUUUAACUGGGAAAGAAGGAAGAAGAAACAGGAAAAUGACAACGGAGUAAAAGAGAAAGGAGCUGCUCUUGCUUGGUUAAUCCUGAAGAUAUCAGUAAAGCGUCGCAAAUUGUCUUCCAAAAUAUACCAAGCUUCCAAGCAACUGCAGAAGAGGUGGAUCUCAACAAUGAUGCUCAGUUCAAGGUUUAUUCCAAUGCACCGGAUGGGAAUGAUCCAUUGGCUUUGGAUAUGGAAAGCAUAGGGAAGGGCCAGGUAUGGAUUAAUGGAGAAAGCAUAGGAAGAUACUGAAUGGCUUAUGGAAAUGGUGGCUGCAAUUCUUACAGAUAUCUUAAGUUGAUUCUACUUUGCUGUAAAGCGCCAACUCAUGGGAAGCAAAAGGUGAUGAUUUGGAGAGUUAGCAGUAACAGAUUCAUGCCAGAUUGAUUGCUGCCACAGCAAAGGUCAAGGACUUAGAAAAUUUUAUUUACUGUUGAUAUUUGUCUUUUUAACUGUUAUCAAUGCUUUAAGUGUGUGCAUUAAAAAAAUAUUUGUAUAUAUCUUUUUAAUAUUAGUUGUAUUUGUUAUUUGAAAAGAUGUGAGAUUUGGAGCAAAUGGUGAUGGAAUUGGAAAAAUGAAAUAAAAAUGGAUCAGAAAUUGAGACAUGGAUUUCAUGUUCAAUUGUCAAUGAUCCUCGAAUCAAGGAUUAAGG